rnacentral:rRNA from 1 species
GACGAACGCUGGCGGCGUGCUUAACACAUGCAAGUCGAACGAUGAAGCCGGAGCUUGCUCUGGUGAAUUAGUGGCGAACGGGUGAGUAACACGUGAGUAACCUGCCCUUGACUCUGGGAUAACUGCGGGAAACUGUAGCUAAUACCGGAUACGACCCUCGGAGGCAUCUCCUGGGGGUGGAAAGAAUUUCGGUCAAGGAUGGACUCGCGGCCUAUCAGCUAGUUGGUGAGGUAAAGGCUCACCAAGGCGACGACGGGUAGCCGGCCUGAGAGGGUGACCGGCCACACUGGGACUGAGACACGGCCCAGACUCCUACGGGAGGCAGCAGUGGGGAAUAUUGCACAAUGGGCGCAAGUCUGAUGCAGCAACGCCGCGUGAGGGAUGACGGCCUUCGGGUUGUAAACCUCUUUUAGCAGGGAAGAAGCGAAAGUGACGGUGCCUGCAGAAAAAGCACCGGCUAGCUACGUGCCAGCCGCCGCGGUAA